rnacentral:lncRNA from 1 species
GUGCAAUGGAAACAGCACAGCGUGGCUGAGAAGGGCAUUGUCCAGACGCCGUGGGGUGGAAAGUCCAGCGGUCACGGCCAGCUUGUCUUCGAGAGGCUGGGCUUUGUAUUGAAGUGGGCAGCUCCGGCACAUACCCUAGACAACACCACUAAAUUUAGCGAAAAAAAAAAAAAAUCCAAGGGCAGUCAGGAGGGGCAAAACUGCAGUUAUCAUAAUCUUAGGCAGGGUGCCUUUAAAACUGUGUUUGAAUAAAACCAAUUAAUACUAUAACUUCGCUUCAGAACAGAGACUACUGCUGAGUUUGCGAGCAGCCCGAAUCCGCCUUGGUGAGUUAGGACAGCCGAGAGUUUGGGGCCUGGGUUCGUCUUGCUAAUGAUAUUCCAAGUUCUUGACUUGACUCUGAAGCCUCCGCCGUUAAGGGGAGGAUCACGGGAACUGGCACAUUCUGGAGAGAGGACAUCUGACCUUCCCGAUCCCAGGGGCUGUGGGUGGGAGAGAAAACAGAGGUUAUUUUUAUAGGACUGUACUAACACGGCUGUGGCCGGACAGCUUGGGGGAAAGGCCAUGCUUGUGCAGGUUUGGGGACAGCGAUGUUUUCCUAACAUUUCAGCAGCCAAAAAAUCACUUCGGAUUCCGCCCAAGGCCAGAGCAUUCCUCAUCCCUCCCCCUGACCUCUCCACCCCGCCCUACUGCCCCAGCCUCUGCUGGCAGUUUAGAAAGAGGGAACAAGGCUCCCGGGGACCCAGACUCUUCGCUCCUGCCCUUGGUCUCAGCCUUCGCUCACCAGCCCCUUCCUGUACGCUGGAAUUCGUGCUCCAAAGUGAGAAAAACUCAAGCUGUUGAUGGAAAAGACACACUGCGCAGAAAUCUCCCGGAUUCUUCUAGUUCCGUGGGACGUGGUCUCCGACGCCGUCCCUCGCUGUCGCCGCUUGCCUUGGUGUUUUGCUCCGUGGCUUUCAGAUUGGGCUCAGAAGGAGAGGACCGAGGGGCCAGAGUGCCGGGACCAUCGCUGCUGCCUUCCUGGGUGCGCUGGCAGGCAGCUGCUUGGGAAACAGCAGCAGCGACGCGCAUCAGCACUCUCAUACAGGACGCAGGUAUUUCAAGGGUGACUGCUAAGAAAAAUGCUCCUGGGCCUUAGCUCAGGAGAACAGGGUGUGACUCAGGGGGGCCUUUGAGGUUCUCAGAACUUGGAUGUCACCUGCCACCCAGGGUAGAAGCCCCUUGUGUGGAGGCUCAGGUACGUAGUGAUGCCCUCCAGGGUUGUUCUGUGCAUUGCCAUCAGAAAACAGGAAGCUUCUGUUUGCCGGGCUCUGCGUCGCUGGCUGAACACACAAUCUGCUUCCAGAAUACACUUCUGGGUGGAGGCCAAGAGAAAUGUUCUCCUUGUGCGUUUCCCAUGGCUACGCACAGACAGAGCGAGGGGACUCAAUUCCAAGGGCCUGUGGAAAGGGGACAGGCUCUGAUGCUGAUGUCUGUAUACCCGGCUUUACUUGAAAAGCUCGCUUCCUCCAUCACAAGCAAGGUGGCAGGGCUGGGCGCCAGUCACUGGAGGCCUAAGGACUCGCGGAUGUGUCCCCCGAUGGAAACCUCCUCGAGAUAAUGGGUCAUAGUGACCCAGAUUACCCCAGCCUUUACCUAACUGAAGUAUCAGUGCGUGGACGAGUCCUGAGCUUUGUUACAAAGACCCUGAGGUCAGCCCAGGCAUCCCUUAACAGGUGGGGCCGCAGAGCCCAAAGGGAAACAGCUGCUGUCGUUCUUGAGUCUCUUUGAUGAGGCAGGGGGUGGUGCCCUAACUGAAUACAAAAUAAUGGUGGAGUUUAGCUUGGGUGAGGCUUUCUGAGGGGGGGGGGGUCUCACGGCACCUCCAGGUGGAGCUUUAUUGGCCCCAAUGGCACCUCCUCCUUCCUGGUUCCAGACAAGGUGCAGGUGCAUCAUGGGAAAGUAGGUGUACCGGAUUGACAGGUAAGGGGGUGGAGUUGCAAGGCAGGGCCACGCAGGAAUUGUGGGAAAUAUUCCAGCUCAACUAAGUCCUACCCAACCUUCUGCCCGGUUCCUUCGUAUCACCUUGAGAGUGAGCUGUUUAAGGAGGAGCUGCUCCCUGGCUUCCUGUUGGGUGCUGUGGUCUUUCCCUCCCAAUC